rnacentral:rRNA from 1 species
UACGAAGGGUGCAAGCGUUACUCGGGAUUACUGGGCGUAAAGCGUGCGUAGGUGGUUCGUUAAGUCUGAUGUGAAAGCCCUGGGCUCAACCUGGGAAUUGCAUUGGAUACUGGCGGGCUAGAGUGCGGUAGAGGAUGGCGGAAUUCCCGGUGUAGCAGUGAAAUGCGUAGAGAUCGGGAGGAACAUCCGUGGCGAAGGCGGCCAUCUGGACCAGCACUGACACUGAGGCACGAAAGCGUGGGGAGCAAACAGG